rnacentral:rRNA from 1 species
CCUUACCUACUCUUGACAUCCUGCGAACUUGGUAGAGAUACCUUGGUGCCUUCGGGAACGCAGAGACAGGUGCUGCAUGGCUGUCGUCAGCUCGUGUUGUGAAAUGUUGGGUUAAGUCCCGUAACGAGCGCAACCCUUGUCCUUAGUUGCCAUCAUUUAGUUGGGGACUCUAAGGAGACUGCCGGUGACAAACCGGAGGAAGGCGGGGACGACGUCAAGUCAUCAUGGCCCUUACGAGUAGGGCUACACACGUGCUACAAUGGCAAGUACAGAGGGCCGCGAAGCCGCGAGGUGGAGCUAAUCUCACAAAGCUUGUCGUAGUCCGGAUUGGAGUCUGCAACUCGACUCCAUGAAGUCGGAAUCGCUAGUAAUCGCAAAUCAGAAUGUUGCGGUGAAUACGUUCCCGGGUCUGUACACACCG